rnacentral:rRNA from 1 species
UACGUAGGGUGCGAGCGUUGUCCGGAAUUAUUGGGCGUAAAGAGCUUGUAGGCGGUCUGUCGCGUCUGCUGUGAAAAUCCGGGGCUCAACCCCGGACUUGCAGUGGGUACGGGCAGACUAGAGUGUGGUAGGGGGAGAUUGGAAUUCCUGGUGUAGCGGUGGAAUGCGCAGAUAUCAGGAGGAACACCAAUGGCGAAGGCAGAUCUCUGGGCCGUAACUGACGCUGAGGAGCGAAAGCAUGGGGAGCGAACAGG